ACCGCACGAGCGGUGGAUGAUGUGGAUUAAUUCGAUGCAACGCGAAAACCUUACCACCUUUGACAUGUACGGAAUCCUUUAGAGAUAGAGGAGUGCUCGAAAGAGAGCCGUAACACAGGUGCUGCAUGGCUGUCGUCAGCUCGUGUCGUGAGAUGUUGGGUUAAGUCCCGCAACGAGCGCAACCCUUGUCAUUAGUUGCUACAUUCAGUUGGGCACUCUAAUGAGACUGCCGGUGACAAACCGGAGGAAGGUGGGGAUGACGUCAAGUCCUCAUGGCCCUUAUAGGUGGGGCUACACACGUCAUACAAUGGAUGGUACAAAGGGUCGCCAACCCGCGAGGGGGAGCCAAUCCCAUAAAGCCAUUCGUAGUCCGGAUCGCAGUCUGCAACUCGACUGCGUGAAGUCGGAAUCGCUAGUAAUCGUGGAUCAGAAUGUCACGGUGAAUACGUUCCCGGGUCUU
rnacentral:rRNA from 1 species